AAAACAAAAAAAAAAACAUGGAGGCUGUGUAUUCACUAUUCAUUCCAAAGUUGAUAGAUUAUAAUCUUUUAUGCUUUGAUCCUAUAUGAUGGUCGUUAGUGCUUAUUCAAGGCUAGGCAUGAUGCAGUUAAAGAUGAGUUUGCUGUGUGUCAACUCAAGAAGAAGGAAUACCAUAUGAUCAAAAAUCUUGAUCACAGUCAGGUUUGAGAAGGAAAAAUUGGAAUAUACAAGAAGACUUCAGGGGUGGUAAACUGGUUUCAUUACAUUGAAAUGGAAGUAGAGUGAGCAGUCUGAUAAAGGAAAUAUAUUCCUUGCAUGUUAUGAUCCUAUAUAGUUUGAGAGUUAUUCAUAUCUAGUUUUGUGGCCAAACUUGGUUUUUUCCUGUGUUUCUAUGUAGUUUUUCUAUAUAACUAGUAAGUUUUUUAUUCUCUAAA